rnacentral:lncRNA from 1 species
CUUUCAAUUUUGUUUCUCAACUACUUGUUUUUCCUAAGACACUCAAGUCUCCUUUUGUUUCAAAAUUAACGAUUUCUGCAAAUGACCUCGAGUGAGUCCCAACACAACCACAAAACCUACAAUUGCACACAAAUUUAUUCAUCUAACCGUUGCUGCAAUGAAGCAUAGAAUUAUUCAUCUUAAAAUAGGUUCAAUCUAUUGCAAGGAUGUACCAUUACGUACUUGCAUUACAUAAUACGACCACCUAUUGAUGUUCACUAGUAGGCGUGGAUAACGGUCCUAUUGAUGACUGCUUAACAUGGUGACCAAAAGAAGUAUGUAGCCCUGGACAUUUCCGAUGCAUUCAUGGACUGAUUCACAUUUUGAGAGUUCCAAGAGUAAUGCAACUGCUAAUUUUCCUCCCCCAAUGCGACAUCCAAGAGACUUAGUAAUAGAUUCCAUGCCAUUGCCAACUCUAGCAAUUCUUACCUGUAAAAUACAUGAAAUUUCAAUUAAAUAUUUACUAUAUGUUCCUACUAUGUUGUCUUCUUCAAAGUAACCACAAAUAUCUAUGCUAUAUUUUACCUGAUAAGUUAAUCUUUUGUUAUUCUUUAAACCUGUAAGUUCUAAUAUAUAUAUAUAUAUAUAUAUAUAUUUUAAACAAUCUUCUAUUCGUGCUGAACCCAAAUAAAUUAUCAAAACUAACUUUUCAAAACCAAACUCAGAAACAAGAUUUCAGAAUUUUCUCGACAUCCCAGAAAAGGAGCAAGGACAAAUGGCAGAUUUUUAAACAUGUCUAGAUAUAUCUGAAAAUCCUCAAAUUUGAAAAGGAAUUCUUAAACUCCUGAAAGGUGUUCUAUUUGUUCAUUUCUUAUAUCACAAAAAAUAACAUAACAAUAAUUUCGACAAAAAAAAGAAAAAAAAAUCAUAGAUGGAGAAAUCACAUAGAGAACCCAAAUCUAGAAAAAUAAAAUCUUGAAGAUUCUAACCGGGAAAGAACUCGUGAACGGAAAUGGCCCAGCCAAGAGAGGUGGAGGUCUACAAAGCCGGG